rnacentral:rRNA from 1 species
GACGAACGCUGGCGGCGUGCUUAACACAUGCAAGUCGAACGGAGAGGCCCUGCUUUUGUGGGGUGCUCGAGUGGCGAACGGGUGAGUAACACGUGAGUAACCUGCCCUUGACUUUGGGAUAACUUCAGGAAACUGGGGCUAAUACCGGAUAGGAGCUCCUGCUGCAUGGUGGGGGUUGGAAAGUUUCGGCGGUUGGGGAUGGACUCGCGGCUUAUCAGCUUGUUGGUGGGGUAGUGGCUUACCAAGGCUUUGACGGGUAGCCGGCCCGAGAGGGUGACCGGCCACAUUGGGACUGAGAUACGGCCCAGACUCCUACGGGAGGCAGCAGUGGGGAAUAUUGCACAAUGGGCGGAAGCCUGAUGCAGCAACGCCGCGUGCGGGAUGACGGCCUUCGGGUUGUAAACCGCUUUCGCCUGUGACGAAGCGUGAGUGACGGUAAUGGGUAAAGAAGCACCGGCUAACUACGUG